rnacentral:rRNA from 1 species
GGAUCCAGACUUCGAUCCUGGCUCAGGAUGAACGCUAGCUACAGGCUUAACACAUGCAAGUCGAGGGGAAACGACAUCGAAAGCUUGCUUUUGAUGGGCGUCGACCGGCGCACGGGUGAGUAACGCGUAUCCAACCUGCCCAUCACUUGGGGAUAACCUUGCGAAAGUAAGACUAAUACCCAAUGACAUCCAUAGAAGACAUCUGAAAUGGAUUAAAGAUUUAUCGGUGAUGGAUGGGGAUGCGUCUGAUUAGCUUGUUGGCGGGGUAACGGCCCACCAAGGCGACGAUCAGUAGGGGUUCUGAGAGGAAGGUCCCCCACAUUGGAACUGAGACACGGUUCAAACUCCUACGGGAGGCAGCAGUGAGGAAUAUUGGUCAGUGGGCGAGAGCCUGAACCAGCCAAGUAGCGUGCAGGAUGACGGCCCUAUGGGUUGUAAACUGCUUUUAUAAGGGAAUAAAGUGAGUCUCGUGAGACUUUUUGCAUGUACCUUAUGAAUAAGGACCGGCUAAUUCCGUGCCAGCAGCCGCGGUAAUACGGAAGGUCCGGGCGUUAUCCGGAUUUAUUGGGUUUUAAGGGAGCGUAGGCCGGAGAUUAAGCGUGUUGUGAAAUGUAGAGGCUCAACCUCUGCACUGCAGCGCGAACUGGUCUUCUUGAGUACGCACAACGUGGGCGGAAUUCGUGGUGUAGCGGUGAAAUGCUUAGAUAUCACGAAGAACUCCGAUUGCGAAGGCAGCUCACGGGAGCGCAACUGACGCUGAAGCUCGAAAGUGCGGGUAUCGAACAGGAUUAGAUACCCUGGUAGUCCGCACGGUAAACGAUGGACGCCCGCUGUUGGCCUGAAUAGGUCAGCGGCCAAGCGAAAGCAUUAAGCAUCCCACCUGGGGAGUACGCCGACAGCGGUGCAACUCAAAGGAAUUGACGG